GAGUAACACGUGGGUAACCUGCCCAAGAGACUGGGAUAACACCUGGAAACAGAUGCUAAUACCGGAUAACAACACUAGACGCAUGUCUAGAGUUUGAAAGAUGGUUCUGCUAUCACUCUUGGAUGGACCUGCGGUGCAUUAGCUAGUUGGUAAGGUAACGGCUUACCAAGGCAAUGAUGCAUAGCCGAGUUGAGAGACUGAUCGGCCACAUUGGGACUGAGACACGGCCCAAACUCCUACGGGAGGCAGCAGUAGGGAAUCUUCCACAAUGGACGAAAGUCUGAUGGAGCAACGCCGCGUGAGUGAAGAAGGGUUUCGGCUCGUAAAGCUCUGUUGGUAGUGAAGAAAGAUAGAGGUAGUAACUGGCCUUUAUUUGACGGUAAUUACUUAGAAAGUCACGGCUAACUACGUGCCAGCAGCCGCGGUAAUACGUAGGUGGCAAGCGUUGUCCGGAUUUAUUGGGCGUAAAGCGAGCGCAGGCGGUUCAAUAAGUCUGAUGUGAAAGCCUUCGGCUCAACCGGAGAAUUGCAUCAGAAACUGUUGAACUUGAGUGCAGAAGAGGAGAGUGGAACUCCAUGUGUAGCGGUGGAAUGCGUAGAUAUAUGGAAGAACACCAGUGGCGAAGGCGGCUCUCUGGUCUGCAACUGACGCUGAGGCUCGAGAGCAUGGGUAGCGAACAGGAUUAGAUACCCUGGUAGUCCAUGCCGUAAACGGU
rnacentral:rRNA from 1 species